UUUAAACCUAAAUUUUUAUCCUGAAAAUGCGGGCUAAUCAUCAAAACUCGUAAACUUUUCUACUUUUUUGAAUUCUUUACAGCCACGUCAUAUUGCUUUGGAUUGAAGUGCUAGUAAUGUCGAACACAGCAUGCAAUAUUUGGUUUCUUGGUUCCGUUAAAUCCACAAACAUUAACAUCAAGACAAUUGGUUCUUCUUGACAGUGGCCUUGAAGGACUGGGCUCAAACGUGAGGUAUAUCAGAAAAACUCUCAAAAUAGAGAGCGCUCUAGUGGGAGUGAUUGGUGAGAUGGCCGAUACAGCCAGAAAACAUAAUCUUACCAUUAUGUGCAAGGACCUGGAUGAAAUAACCACUCUGGAAGAAAUCUGCAAUUAAUUACAAAAAAAGUUUGGUUUUUAACUCCUGGGGAAGCAUUAUAUAAAAAUUAUGCGUAAAACUCGAAGCGCCACUCAAAUAGCUCUUAUACUACAUAUGCCCACGAGCUGAGAAUGCCGCAAUCUUGCUUAAAUGCGGUAAAAUAAAAAUCAGGUGGUCCAUCUGAAACCUCCGAUAAUUUUCAGCACUACUCUGCACUCGUUGCGGAGACCAGAAGGGGGAGAUUUCAACGCAUAAUCUACUGUUUGGGGUAGCAGAAUGCAAAUCAUCGUGAGCGCCUCAUUCCAGAAGUUUUGAGUAAUACAAACCUUACAACUUUAAACAAUGGCACACAAAAUCCUUUCAAAAGGUGAAUAAAGGUUCUAUAAGCUUAGCAGGCUUACUAAGUGGAAAGUGUCAUAUAUGUACACAAAUAGCAACCACAUGGCUAAAUUGCUGAAGAUCCGUUCUCUUAAAAAGUGGAAGACUGUCGGAGAAAUACCUCUCUCGAAAGCGAAGUUGGCGGUAAAAGGAAUUUGAUACUAACGUUUUAGAGAGUGCUUCGGGUACGGCAAAGGCACCAGGCGCAGAUGCCACCCACCCCAAAGGCACCAGGCGCAGAUGGAACCCAUUGCAGCAUGCGAUGCAACUUUGUCCAGGACGAGAUAUAUACUGGUAAAACGAAUAAAUCGCCAAGCUGAGGAAGCUGUGUCACUCAGCUAGACGCCGUCUACAGCGUAACCAGGGAAGUAAAAACGAAAUCCGCCUCAAAGAAGCAUUUAAAUGCCAAAAAAAAAAUAUCUUGAAGGGAGAACCCAUGGUAAAUGAUCCUGUUUCGAAAAGGUCUGUGAAGAAGCAAACAUAGACCUGUGGAAAAGACAUAAAAAAUUUAGAAACCCGAAACCCCAAUCCGUGGAAGGUACAGCGUCUGGUUUUACUCCCACAGCCACCAGAAGAACUUUCUUCAUAUCGACGUCUGUGCAUGUUCCACACUAUUGGUCAAAUGUACGAGAGCAUUGUAAGAAACCGCUUGAAGUUAGAAAUCCAAAACCCGGCGGAUUAUCAU